rnacentral:rRNA from 1 species
AGCAGCCGCGGUAAUUCCAGCUCCAAUAGCGUAUAUUAAAGUUGUUGCAGUUAAAAAGCUCGUAGUUGAAUUUCGGGGUUCUACCGUUGGUCGGGCUACCAAGUCUGUACUGGUGUGUAGAAUUCCUACCUUCUGGGGAACUAUCAUGUUAUUAAUUUAGCGUGGUGGGAAACCAGGACCUUUACCUUGAAAAAAUUAGAGUGUUCAAAGCAGGCUUAUGUCUGAAUACAUUAGCAUGGAAUAAUAGAAUAGGACGGUGGUCCUGUUUUGUUGGUUUCUGAAUCACCGUAAUGAUUAAUAGGGAUAGUUGGGGGCAUUAGUAUUCAAUUGUCAGAGGUGAAAUUCUUGGAUUUAUUGAAGACUAACUUCUGCGAAAGCAUUUGCCAAGGAUGUUUUCAUUAAUCAAGAACGAAAGUUAGGGGAUCGAAGACGAUCAGAUACCGUCGUAGUCUUAACCAUAAACUAUGCCGACUAGGGAUCGGACGAUGUUAAAUUUUAUUGACUCGUUCGGCGCCUUACG